GUCGUCAAGAUCAACCUAACCCCUAUGUUAAACGCUUGAUCAUUUAGGACUCGAUCGAUCUCGACGACGGGCGGCGUGGCUCGAUCAUCUAGAAAAUCGAUCGAUCUCCACGACGGGCGGCGCGGCUCGCAUGAACAAGGACGAAGUCGAUGUAACAGAUAAGGCGUGCGAUCUCGAAAACGACAACUACAAGCCGUCACAAGGCGAGUUCGUCUAUGGUCGUCGCCGCCGUCCCCACCGUCCCACGCCCGUUAACGCCCAGCAGCCACCGCCUUGAGACCCGCCGGGAGAGGGGCGAGGAGCCGCAGAUGAGGAGAAAGUUGGGUGUGGAUAAUCGCCCACAGGAGGAGUCUCGGCAGAGUUGGGCGAGUUUCAUUCAGCUCUCCCACCAACCUCUAGCGCCCGGAUCCGCCCCGUCCCCAUCCCUUCACGCCUGCGCUGCCCUUCCCGCAGAUUUCACCGCCGCCGCCGUCCUUGAAUCCACCGGCGCCGAUGUCCCGCUGAAAUCCACGACGCGCCGCCAUAGCCUUGACCUGGAUUGCGCCUACUCCUGUACUGGAUCUAGGUGUGGCCUGGCUCCACGUAUCUCCAGAUGAUGUGCUACUUCAAUUUCUGAAUAAGAAUGCAGUUAACAGUGCCUCAGCAGGAUUCCUUGACUAAUUGGUAUCCCAUCGGUGAAUCUGGAUUUCAGUGGAUUUCAGUGGACAUCGCAUCCUACAGAGUUUAGGUCCAUCAGGGUUCAAUUUUCGUCAGGGUUCAUCAAGAAUGGGAACACAAUGGGCAGGAAGAAAAAGGGAAUCUAAAUUUAAAGGGAAAAAAUUUGAUAAUGCUUUUGGACCAGCUGAUGAUCAAGAGGUUGUAUUUGCUGAGAGCUUGCCAGUCUUGAGGUCAGUGACGGAUGGUUCAAUUCAUGCUUGGUUUGAUCUCGAGUGGGUGGGCGCAGCAGCGCUGGCCUAUGAGGCGAACAAGCUGCUGGUGAUAGAGAACGUGCAGGUAGCGCCUCGGCAGGACGGCGAGAUGAUUACAUGUGUACCACAUAUACGGUUGAGACAAGAGACAAGGUCUGUCACUCUUCCAUGGCGCCAAGCGUUGGGUUGUGGGCCUACUGCGAGCCUCCUCCCUCGAGUGCCAUAACCAACGACAAGCGGCGGAGAAGAACAUGGGCGUGCCACCAGGGAUAGGUAAUGGCGGCAGCGGUGGGGAGAAGGCGCUCGUCGUGGCUAGCGACUGGAAGGCAUGGGACUGGGCAGUCCGGUCGCCGGUAGUGGGGAGGCAAGGAAAGGAUUCUUGACCAAAGAGAAAUGGAGGGAGGUAGAAAGUGGGAAGGUCGAGAGUGGGGAGGCAGGCUAGAGGCACUAAUAGGAUGGUUUGUGUCCCAGUUUGGGUGUUAGUUUUUAUUUUAUUUUUUUGCAAUGUCAUGACUCAAGGAAAGUUUCAAGUUAAUUAAGAGUUAAUUAAGGCUUAAAAAGAAAGUUUGGUUAUGCGUA